AAUGCACUGGGGAACCUGCAUGUGGGAGGAAACCCUCAGCAUCUUGAGUGAAACAUGGCUAGGAUGGAACUGUUCAUUUCUGCUCCCACAUACUUCAUUUCUCUUUCCCAUUUCUAAAGAUCUGAGCAGAGUACAGGUGGAAUGGGGGCUUGCUUUCUGCUGAGCUUCUGAACUUCCAAGUUUUGUAAACAUGCAAGGCUGCCAGUGUUUGUCUUUGCAUCACUCUGAGAGAGAGAGAGAAACAUGCUAGGGAGCUGGAAAGAAAAAGCUGUGCACUUUGACCAUGUUUAUGCUGAAAAGGGGCCGCAUGCCUGUUUGCAAACCUAUGAGGAUGCCUAAAGGCAAACAGGAUGGUGCCAGUUAAUAUUGGUCUGUUUUAUUUGCGUCUCCAAAAAAGGAAUAAGCAAGAGAAACUUUGUUGAUCAGUGUUACCAGUAUUAACUGUUAUUAUCUGAAUGCAACUUUUUUACAGUUCAAAGGCGUUUCUCCAAAAUAACACAGUGGGACUGUCCAGCAAACUGAACUGUUCGGCAGUGCAAAGCAGCCAAAGCACUCCGUGAUACAAAUGGCAUCAUCGUUCAGAUCAAAACAAAUCAGUGCUCACCUUCAGAAUGCAUUAAUGCCAUUCACAAACGGGAAUACAACAGCUGUCUCCAAGUCUAUUUGAAAGCUUUCAGUAAGAUGACAGAAUGGAAGACAAAUAUAUGUAUGUGCAGUAGACAUGUUUGUGCUUCUUUGCUUUCCUGAGCAACUUCUAGCAUUUAAUACAUUUAUCCCAUGGACAGUUGCGAGUCUGCUGCUUCUAUGCAGACAAACAUGCACAUUCUUAGGGAUACAAAUACACACCGCAAAAGUUGAUCUCAUCACCAGAGAAAACCAGGUGGCAAAAGCUUAAUUACCAGUGACAUUAUUCUGCCUAUACUGGUAAAUGUAGCCUCUAAUUAAGAUGUAAAUUUUAGUUCUGAGUGGUGAAUUAAAAGCAAUCUGACAUGCAUCCUAUCCAACCAUUCUUCGGAUUCACUAAACAAGCUGAGGGAAAAGAUUAAGCAUGUAUUCUAAUAGUGUCAGAAUCUAACAUACCUUCCUACAAAUAUUUCAAUUAAUAAGAACUGUUUGUAGCAGAUAUGCUUAAUUUCCAUAUAACUUAUAUAUAAUCUAUAUCCAAAGUCUGGAUAUAACCGUAUUGAAGCAUAUUCGUAUACCCAUUGAGUAUACUCUUUGAAUUCAUCUAUUCAUCCAUCUAUCUUUGCACCUAAUAAAUCACAUUCAAUUGAAAGUUUUCUGAAAGCAUACUUUUGUCCAGGCUUCCUAGUCUAAAGCCUAGAUAACAAUAUUUAUAAACAGAGAAUAUAUAAUAUUAAACUAUUAGAAAAUUAUUUAAAAAUUACCUCAUAUUGUCUUACGAUCAUUGUAGUUAGCUGUGGACAUUCUUUGGACGACUGUCUGCUCUUCUGCUCUGCUUUCCCAUCUAUUACGCUGCUCCACUGAAUUUCUGCUAUCCUCUUUCCUGUUCAUGUCAUCUUAUGCUCCCCCCUCCAACACGACAUUAACUAUUGCUAUCUUUCUACCAGGCACCUUGGAAGCAUCUGUCUCUGCUGAUGCUGCUUAGAAGACCACAGCCGUAGUAUUAUAAUUUAUGCAUUCAUGAAAGGCAGUUGGCCUUCCCCCCUGGGAUUCAAAAUGUCACCUCCAGUAGACCUGGGCUUGAAAUUUCAACUGUGUUUUUGAACUUCUCAUGCCAGUUUUUUAACAAAAGGAGAAACAAAUGAUGCUACCAUCACAGUAUUAUUACCAUCCUUGUUCAUCUGAAAACUGCUUGUUACGUUUCAUGUACUAUUGAACAGGAAGACUCGUGAAAAUAUAAACAAGGCAAACCCACAAUUUUCACAUUAUCAAAAAUACAAGGAGUAUUCUCUUUUGCUAACACACACACACACACAUACCCUUACUAAGUCAAAUGCUGCUGUGUAUAAACUCACCUCAUGGAGUCGGCACAAAGCGAUAGUGAAAAUCAGAGCUAGGAGGGUGAGAGACGCUGUCCUGAGUAUUUGCACCAGGCAGUGAGUGCUCUUGAACAGUGUCUACAUCUUCACAUCUCCUCUGCAUAUUUCUGCGGAUAAUUAUCCCCAUGCAGAGUACUGUAUAUCUUUAAGCAUCCUCACACUUAAGUGCUACAGACAGCUCAUUGCGUCCAAAUUGCCCGAUUCGGAAGCCACAGCUACCUCAAGGCUACUGAAGUAAAGAUUCAAUGGCACUUUGCAGAAGCAGUACAGUUAAUUGUGCCAAGUGCAGAAAAAGACCACGGAAGAAAAAUACAAAGGGGGGCUUGGGUCUACUAUGAGGUUACUAGGCACUUGCUCAGUUGUACGCCAAGUUAUUUAAAAAUCAUCAUGUCAUCUCCUGUGUUUAUUUAUUUAUUUUUCUCCUGCCUUCCUCCCCAUACAGGCACUCAAGGCGGCUAACGGCAAACGUGAUACAAUACAAAUUAAAAACAAAAAAUGGAUGUAAAUAUGAAUAUAAAACUAACAAACAAUUAAAUCUUGGUGUCAUGAAGCAUGAACACUAAAAUACGAUUGCUGUUAAAACCAUACACACACCCAAAUCCCAUUCAUACCAUCCCUAGCAGUCUGCCCCUCAAAAACAUUUAUCCCUUCAGUGCCAACAAGUCCUAUCACCUUUUCAAUUGAAUUUGAAUUAAGUGCUGCAAUUUUUUGUAAUUCACCUUGUAUUGUCUGACGUUCGUUGUAAAAGGACCAAAGUAAUAGAUUUGUUUAAAUAUAUCAUAGUACCUGGACAGAAAAAUGCCAGAGAAUACAGGAUUUAAAGAAUUGGGAAGCAAAGUGUUGACUUCCAAGGGCCUAUCUUUGCACAUACACCAAUUCCAAACUCUCUUAAUUGAAAACAAAUAUCCUAAGAAGCCAUUAAGACUCAUACAUGUUUGCUGUUUGUCUUUUCUACUUUUCCUCAGAAAGCUCGGCACAUCCCUGGCUCCAAUAAAAUUCCCCCCACACGCACAGAAAGUGACAAGCUCACUCUCUGAAUUUCUUUGCACGCUUAUGUACACUUGAGCAAAUGGUAGUAGAUUACUACUUUAGAGCCCAUCUGCUGCUUUCAUUUAUAUUUAGCAGAAAUAAUGACCACCCUGCCUAGAUUUUAGACAAGGCGCAAUGUUAGAAUAUGCUUUUAAAUACAAGCUGCAGAUAAGCAUACAUGUGCGUGCUUAUGCAUGUGUGUGAGUGCACAUGCACACACUUCAUCUCCCUUUAUUUCUAGGUAAAUAUAUGCAAAAGUUCUUUUUUCCAAGUAAAACAUCAUACCAAUAAUUUUAUCCUAUCAUUGCUAUAUGAUAGAUCCACCACAACAGGUAUUCUGCAUCCUUAAUUCUUCAGACAAUUUCUAUUUAAAUUAGUACUAGGGAUGUAUUAGAAACUGAUAAACUAUACCAUUCUGUAAAGCGACAUUUUGCUUGCUGAUUUAAAUUCUCUUUUCAAGAACAUCAGUAGACACUUGCAAGUACUAUCUUGGUUUUUUUUUUCCCUUUUCUUUUUCUAAAACUGAUGUAUAACCCAUAGCGGACUCUUUUCCUAACACAUGUUUCCUUAGAGAACCCCACGGUGUUACUGUCUUAGAAAACGAAGGCAAAGAUGACUGAGGGAAUUCAGUCACUCUGUUUAAUUAAUACAGGAUUAUUUCACUUUCAUUUUGCGGAGAUAAUAAUACGACUGGCGGAAUGUCAGUAAAAAUUAAAUCAUAAACUAGUGGAGUGCCAAGGGGAAAGCUUACUUUGGUUAUGGAGUAUCCCCUGUAGAAAUCUUGAAAAAUCUUCGACAUAUUUACACUAGUAAAAUGCCACAUGCUGUUCCAUCGGAUAGUGAAAGAUUUCGAGAAUCUGCAUGACAUGUAUCACAGAGCACAUUUUUCAGAUUAUACGUUAAUAAGAGAGUUGAAGGUGUGUUGUUUCCUGAAUGUUAAGUCACCAAAUGCUAAAUGAUAAAGUACACUCAAGGUCAGCAUUGCAUUUUGGACAAUCUCGGUCACUGAUGUUAUGAUAAUCGCAUCUAAAAUAUUCGUACAGAAAGCACAAAAAGAUUAUUAUGAUAAACAACAGUACGAAAGAAAAGCAAUUCAUAUUGCUUUCUUUCCCUCACAAUAAAUUGCUACUCUUUAUUGGGACAAUGAGGCCACGUAUUUUGUUUUAGCCACUUUUUCUUCUAGUUCCCUACAUAAUAUUUUCAAAGAGUUUGAGAGAAAUCUGUUUAACGUGAAAGCAGUUGUUUGGGUCUUUCUUUCUUUUUAAAAGCCACUUUGUGGAAAGGAUUUUUUAAAAGCCAGUAUAAUCAUCCACCCUAAAAUCAAAUUAGGAUAUCUCACCAACUAUGGGACAAGAUCAGAUGGCUCUUCUCCUCACCUCCUGUCUCUCCCCAGCUUCCUACCUAACUGGAAGCUCAGGGCACUAAAAAUAGAAAAGAAGAUGGAGUGCAAAUAUUUCCCCAGUGAAAACACCAAUAAUCUUUACUGUGAGCUGACACGAAUUGCUUGUUACACUGCCCUAGGAUAUCAUGGCCUGAAGCGACAGCACUCACAGACACACAAGCGCACGCACGCACACACACAUUCAAAGGCACUAAGCAUCUCAAAAGCUAAAGUAAUGUGCAUUUGUGUAGGUGCAUUUUCAGCAGACCUAUGAAAUCGGACGUCUGGUUGAUACACCUGCCAUACAAAACCCAUCAUUUGUAGCCUUCUAGGUUUUAGUUUCCUCUAAACACCGUGGCCCAUCUUUCUCUCCCUCUCAAUUCACUUUUCUCAGGCAUUUUUUUGUUAUUAAUGUUAUUGCUAUUAUUACUGUGCAAGCAUAAGCUGAUCCACGGGAGAGCCUGUGCAAUUUAACCCCUGAAGCGCUAAUUUUUUUUGCACAUGUGCAAAGGCACAGGUUUGUUGUUGCCUCUAGCAAUAUCCCAGCAAGACGAGUGAUGGCGGUGUCAUAUCAUCACAUAGUGACUUAAUCUAUUGCGACAUCCAGGGAAUGGGCAACUGAAAAAGAUUUACAGGACAUGUUUUUUAACUGCAUACAAACACAUUAUCCCCAUUUUCCAGUAACCCAGCCACAGUGGGAUCACACCAGAACAAUUUUCACCCGCCUUCAUCUUCCAGUUUGACAUAUUAAGCCCUGUGUCAUCUAACCUGCUUUUUUGACCAAGAAUGUAAUUCUAAUAAAAGCAUUUUUGUAACA